rnacentral:tRNA from 1 species
CAAAUUAGAGCUUGUUGUUAAGCAUGUUAUUUACAUUAAUAUGAAGUCGUUCAAAUCGAUAUAAUUUGA